rnacentral:rRNA from 1 species
GAUGAACGCUGGCGGCGUGCCUAAUACAUGCAAGUCGAGCGAACAGACAAGGAGCUUGCUCCUUUGACGUUAGCGGCGGACGGGUGAGUAACACGUGGAUAACCUACCUAUAAGACUGGGAUAACUUCGGGAAACCGGAGCUAAUACCGGAUAACAUUUUGAACCGCAUGGUUCUAUAGUGAAAGACGGUUUUGCUGUCACUUAUAGAUGGAUCCGCGCCGUAUUAGCUAGUUGGUAAGGUAACGGCUUACCAAGGCAACGAUACGUAGCCGACCUGAGAGGGUGAUCGGCCACACUGGAACUGAGACACGGUCCAGACUCCUACGGGAGGCAGCAGUAGGGAAUCUUCCGCAAUGGGCGAAAGCCUGACGGAGCAACGCCGCGUGAGUGAUGAAGGCGUUCGGAUCGUAAAACUCUGUUAUUAGGGAAGAACAAAUGUGUAAGUAACUGUGCACGUCUUGACGGUACCUAAUCAGAAAGCCACGGCUAACUACGUG